rnacentral:rRNA from 1 species
GAUGAACGCUGGCGGCGUGCCUAAUACAUGCAAGUCGAGCGAACAGAUAAGGAGCUUGCUCCUUUGACGUUAGCGGCGGACGGGUGAGUAACACGUGGGUAACCUACCUAUAAGACUGGAAUAACUCCGGGAAACCGGGGCUAAUGCCGGAUAACAUUUAGAACCGCAUGGUUCUAAAGUGAAAGAUGGUUUUACUAUCACUUAUAGAUGGACCCGCGCCGUUUUAGCUAGUUGGUAAGGUAACGGCUUACCAAGGCAACGAUACGUAGCCGACCUGAGAGGGUGAUCGGCCACACUGGAACUGAGACACGGUCCAGACUCCUACGGGAGGCAGCAGUAGGGAAUCUUCCGCAAUGGGCGAAAGCCUGACGGAGCAACGCCGCGUGAGUGAUGAAGGUCUUCGGAUCGUAAAACUCUGUUAUUAGGGAAGAACAAAUGUGUAAGUAACUGUGCACGUCUUGACGGUACCUAAUCAGAAAGCUACGGCUAACUACGUG